AACGAACGCUGGCGGCAGGCUUAACACAUGCAAGUCGAACGCCCCGCAAGGGGAGUGGCGCACGGGUGAGUAACGCGUGGGAAUAUGCCCUUCGGUUCGGAAUAACACAGGGAAACUUGUGCUAAUACCGGAUACGAUCUACGGAUGAAAGAUUUAUCGCCGAGGGAGUAGCCCGCGUAGGAUUAGCUAGUUGGUGAGGUAAUGGCUCACCAAGGCGACGAUCCUUAGCUGGUCUGAGAGGAUGAUCAGCCACACUGGGACUGAGACACGGCCCAGACUCCUACGGGAGGCAGCAGUGGGGAAUAUUGGACAAUGGGCGAAAGCCUGAUCCAGCCAUGCCGCGUGAGUGAUGAAGGCCUUAGGGUUGUAAAGCUCUUUCGCCAGGGAAGAUAAUGACGGUACCUGGAAAAGAAGCCUCGGCUAACUCCGUGCCAGCCGCCGCCGUAA
rnacentral:rRNA from 1 species